GCAAUAAGAUGCAUAUGAAAAUAGACAGUGUAAAUGUCGAUAGGGUGUGUUUUUUUUUUUUUUUUUAGAAUGAAAGUCAAGUAAAUUUAGCUUUCUCAUCAUAUGACCCCUUGUGCAUCUAGUGCUGUUCAGUGAUCUCCACUGUAAUGCAUCUCUAUCAGAUCAGCUGCCGCAGCUCCUGCAGAUGAUGAGCCCUCAGCGCUGUGAACACUGUGAGACCAUUAAAGGACCCCCGGGACCCCCUGGAUCUCCAGGGCCUAAAGGGUCCAGCGGGCCCCAGGGCUAUCCCGGCAGACAUGGCACUCAGGGCUACCCAGGACCGCCGGGCAUCCAAGGACCUCCCGGAGUCAAAGGGGACACAGGCCCACAGGGGUUUAAGGGGAAUAAAGGGGAGAGCAGACCAGGAUACCCAGGGCCUCCUGGAGACACAGGGAUCCAGGGUCCUCGCGGCAGUGAUGGCGUUGGUAUUCCGGGUCCUCCGGGAAUCCCGGGUAAAUCCGGGGCUCCGGGCAUCCCGGGGAAGCAAGGUCCUCCAGGGCCGGCCGGCGUGUGCGACAUGUCCAUCUGCUACCAAUCCUAUGACCUCAGGGAUGAGCGCUACAGCAAAGGGCCCGGUUUCUAACACACGCGCUUGAGCGAACACAUGGGCUCAGCUCUCGGACUGCCAGAAGCGCCGCAGAGAAUCCAGAGGAAUUUACUGACAUGGCUUUAGACAUUAUCUGUGCAUUGUUCCGGUGCAAUGAAACAUCAGGGGCCUGUAGAUGAAUGACGGCCAUUAGAGUGACAUUUAAUGACAUGAAACCUGCCUUUUGAUGCACAAAGAGUUGGUGCGUAAACACCAUUUACACAAUAGUACGUACAUAAGAUAAUUUGCAAAACAAUACUGCAAGUAUAUUAAUGUGGAUAGAUGUCAAUGUCAUAAACAUUAACAUUUAUUGUCAUUACUUAUGAAUAUUAAUUAUAAGGUAAAUGGCUAUUUUGUUCCUAAACAAGGAACUUUUUUGCAACAAGAUAUGAGAUGCAAUAUUAAAAGCAUUAGCUCGUUUGUGGUUUGGUAUUAAUGAAGAUUAAGAAUAAGUGGCUUUAUUACUUCAGGGACAGAUAUUAAAAAUAAAGGGGAUAAGCUUAUGUUUGCGUUUGGCAAAAAUAUGUUUUUAAUCUUGAUUUCAACAAUACUUGACUUUUUAAGACACAACAGCCAUCAUAUUUUCAUAUUUAAUUGAAUUACUA
rnacentral:lncRNA from 1 species